ACGAACGCUGGCGGCAUGCCUAACCCAUGCACGUCGAACGAUCCCUUCGGAGAUAGUGGCGCACGGGUGCGUAACGCGUGGGAACCUGCCCUUAGGUUCGGAAUAACUCAGAGAAAUUUGAGCUAAUACCGGAUAAUGUCUUCGGACCAAAGAUUUAUCGCCUUUGGAUGGGCCCGCGUUGGAUUAGCUAGUUGGUGGGGUAAAGGCCUACCAAGGCGACGAUCCAUAGCUGGUCUGAGAGGAUGAUCAGCCACACUGGGACUGAGACACGGCCCAGACUCCUACGGGAGGCAGCAGUGGGGAAUAUUGGACAAUGGGCGAAAGCCUGAUCCAGCAAUGCCGCGUGAGUGAUGAAGGCCUUAGGGUUGUAAAGCUCUUUUACCCGGGAUGAUAAUGACAGUACCGGGAGAAUAAGCCCCGGCUAACUCCGUG
rnacentral:rRNA from 1 species